rnacentral:rRNA from 1 species
UACGUAGGGAGCAAGCGUUGUUCGGAUUUACUGGGCGUAAAGGGCGCGUAGGCGGCGUGUUAAGUCAGCUGUGAAAUCUCCAAGCUCAACUUGGAACGGCCAGCUGAUACUGAUGUGCUAGAGUGCAGAAGGGGCAAUCGGAAUUCUUGGUGUAGCGGUGAAAUGCGUAGAUAUCAAGAGGAACACCUGAGGUGAAGACGGGUUGCUGGGCUGACACUGACGCUGAGGCGCGAAAGCCAGGGGAGCAAAC